rnacentral:rRNA from 1 species
AACGUAGGACACAAGCGUUAUCCGGAGUUACUGGGCGUAAAGGGCGUGUAGGCGGAUGGGUAAGUCUAUUCUGAAAGCUCCUGGCUAAACUGGGAGAGGCGAAUGGAGACUGCUGAUCUAGAGUGAGGAAGAGGAAAGUGGAAUUCCGCGUGUAGUGGUGAAAUGCGUAGAUAUCAGGAGGAACACCGGUGGUGUAGACGGCUUUCUGGACCGUAACUGACGCUGAGACACGAAAGCGUGGGUAGCAAACAGG